rnacentral:rRNA from 1 species
GUGACUGCGUACCUUUUGUAUAAUGGGUCAGCGACUUAUAUUCUGUAGCAAGGUUAACCGUAUAGGGGAGCCGUAGGGAAACCGAGUCUUAACCGGGCGUUAAGUUGCAGGGUAUAGACCCGAAACCCGGUGAUCUAGCCAUGGGCAGGUUGAAGGUUGGGUAACACUAACUGGAGGACCGAACCGACUAAUGUUGAAAAAUUAGCGGAUGACCUGUGGCUGGGGGUGAAAGGCCAAUCAAACCGGGAGAUAGCUGGUUCUCCCCGAAAGCUAUUUAGGUAGCGCCUCGUGAAUUCAUCUCCGGGGGUAGAGCACUGUUUCGGCUAGGGGGCCAUCCCGGCUUACCAACCCGAUGCAAACUGCGAAUACCGGAGAAUGUUAUCACGGGAGACACACGGCGGGUGCUAACGUCCGUCGUGAAGAGGGAAACAACCCAGACCGCCAGCUAAGGUCCCAAAGUCAUGGUUAAGUGGGAAACGAUGUGGGAAGGCCCAGACAGCCAGGAUGUUGGCUUAGAAGCAGCCAUCAUUUAAAGAAAGCGUAAUAGCUCACUGGUCGAGUCGGCCUGCGCGGAAGAUGUAACGGGGCUAAACCAU